CGGCCGGGCGCUAAGUGCGGAGAGUGAAGUUGAGGAGCCAGCCAGGGGUCCAGGGGAGGCCAGGGGUGAGAGGCCAGGCCCAGCCUGCCAGCUGUGUGGGGGGCCGACAGCCUGGGCAACCUGAGGCGGCAUCAGCGUACCCACGCAGGGCCCCCCACUCCUCCCUGCCCGACCUGUGGCUUCCGCUGCUGUGCUCCACGACCAGCCCGGCCUCCCAGUCCCACAGAGCAGGAGGGGGCGGUGCCCCGGCGACCUGAAGACACACAGUGGUGAGAAGCCCUUCCGCUGCGCCCGCUGUCCUUAUGCCUCUGCUCAUCUGGAUAACCUGAAACGGCACCAGCGCGUCCAUACAGGAGAGAAGCCCUACAAGUGCCCCCUCUGCCCUUAUGCCUGUGGCAAUCUGGCCAACCUCAAGCGUCAUGGUCGCAUCCACUCUGGUGACAAACCUUUUCGGUGUAGCCUUUGCAACUACAGCUGCAACCAGAGCAUGAACCUCAAACGUCACAUGCUGCGGCACACAGGCGAGAAGCCCUUCCGCUGUGCCACCUGCGCCUAUACCACGGGCC
rnacentral:sRNA from 1 species